rnacentral:rRNA from 1 species
CAGUCGCCACGGUAAUACGGAGGGUGCAAGCGUUAUCCGGAUUUAUUGGGUUUAAAGGGUCCGUAGGCGGACUUAUAAGUCAGUGGUGAAAGCCUGUCGCUUAACGAUAGAACUGCCAUUGAUACUGUAAGUCUUGAGUAUAUUUAAGGUAGCUGGAAUAAGUAGUGUAGCGGUGAAAUGCAUAGAUAUUACUUAGAACACCAAUUGCGAAGGCAGGUUACCAAGAUAUAACUGACGCUGAGGGACGAAAGCGUGGGUAGCGAACAGGAUUAGAUACCCGUGUAGUCCCUGUCUCUUAUAC